GACGGAGGGUGCGAGCGUUAAUCGGAAUUACUGGGCGUAAAGCGUGCGCAGGCGGUUGUGCAAGACAGAUGUGAAAUCCCCGGGCUUAACCUGGGAACUGCAUUUGUGACUGCACGGCUAGAGUACGGCAGAGGGGGAUGGAAUUCCGCGUGUAGCAGUGAAAUGCGUAGAUAUGCGGAGGAACACCGAUGGCGAAGGCAGUCCCCUGGGCCUGUACUGACGCUCAUGCACGAAAGCGUGGGGAGCAAACAGG
rnacentral:rRNA from 1 species